rnacentral:misc_RNA from 1 species
CUUCUACUACCACUCAGAUCACAAACCCAGAAGGCUUGAGAUAUGGCAAAGGUUCCAUGCAAGAAUAUUCUUCUUGUAGCCUUUUUCCUGCUUUGCUUUGUAUCCAUUGGUGCAAGAGCAAGGACUUUGCAAGUGGCAAAAAACAUUAAUGAAGUAGAGAAGAUCAAGGACCAUGAAGAUAAUUCCUUCACAUCCAAAGGAAAUGGGGUACACCCAGAUGCUGAUGAACAACUGGUGAUGGACUAUACUGGCCCAAGCAAGAAACCUCCAAUUCAUAAUUAAAAUGGGAAAUUAAAUUUUGUCAUGCAAUUACAAGAUUUUACUCUUUUCUUAUAUAUAUAUAUAAUCAUGAUUUUGAGCUUUCAUCCUUAGGUAUCUACAUCUAGGAUAUUAAAAAAUAUUAAUAACUAUAUACAUAUAUAUAUAUAGAAGUGUAAACUUGCAGAACAAAGGUGGAUAUUGCACUAGUCUUUAGUCUUUACGGACUCUUUCUGUGAAUUAAUUAGAGCAUAUCAGGGCUUUUAAGAACUGACUGCAAUGUGCAAUAUAUGGCUAGCUAGCUUUACAGGUAUAUUGGCUUGUAAUACCUUUAAUUAGUUACAGAAUACAAAAGUACACUUAUGUUUUUG